ACCGCAACAGUGCUGUAACAGUAU
rnacentral:siRNA from 1 species